GACAGAGGAUGCAAGCGUUAUCCGGAAUGAUUGGGCGUAAAGCGUCUGUAGGUGGCUUUUUAAGUCCGCCGUCAAAUCCCAGGGCUCAACCCUGGACAGGCGGUGGAAACUACCAAGCUGGAGUACGGUAGGGGCAGAGGGAAUUUCCGGUGGAGCGGUGAAAUGCGUAGAUAUCGGAAGGAACGCCGGUGGCGAAAGCGGCGUGCUGGACCUCUUCUGACGCUGAGGCGCGAAAGCCAGGGGAGCGAACGGG
rnacentral:rRNA from 1 species